UGUGCUUCUGUUUUUCAGGUUGCUGUGCUUUUCCCUCCUUGCCACAGACACUUUACAACAUUUAUCAAGCAUGAAAGAAUAACACUACUGAUGAAUUUACUGCUACAAUAAAUACAGAUGCCCAGCACUGUAUCAAGAAAGAAUUGACUGAAGGCAGAAUAAAGACCUGAGCAGCAGUGAAGUGAUGUACGCUGUCUGAGUGCAGGCUGAUUACUUGCCAAAUGACAAACACAAGGUUGGAGGUCUUUCACUGGUUAUUGUUUCCAAUUAGCUGGAAUUGUCAGUGCUUUUCCAACUGGACUACUGGUGCAGUCAGAGUUCAUCUUAAUUGUUGGCCACACCCUGCUUUUGACAAUAGCACAUGUUCACUACGGCCUCUGCAUGGGAAAACAGCUGAGUAAACACUUGACCAUUUGUAUCUUCUCGUUGGAGAAUCGCCAUCAGGAAUGAGGCCAUUGCUGGAAAAAUACAGGAAAUCUAAAGCAUUCUUCUUCGGACUGAGACUGGAAAGCUAUAGAAUAGGGGCAUUCAUUAUUCUUGCAUUUAAAAGACCAAAUGGUUUGUGAGGGUACGUAAUUAGGGAUCAGUUACAUCUCAGAUAAGC